rnacentral:rRNA from 1 species
AGAGUUUGAUCAUGGCUCAGGACGAACGCUGGCGGCGUGCCUAACACAUGCAAGUCGAGCGAGGGGAGUUCUUCGGAACGAACCUAGCGGCGGACGGGUGAGUAACACGUGGGUAACCUGCCUCAAAGAGGGGGAUAGCCUCCCGAAAGGGAGAUUAAUACCGCAUAAUCCAUCGUUUCCGCAUGGAGAUUAUGGUAAAGAUUUAUCGCUUUGAGAUGGACCCGCGGCGCAUUAGCUAGUUGGUGAGGUAAUGGCUCACCAAGGCGACGAUGCGUAGCCGACCUGAGAGGGUGAUCGGCCACAUUGGAACUGAGACACGGUCCAGACUCCUACGGGAGGCAGCAGUGGGGAAUAUUGCACAAUGGGCGCAAGCCUGAUGCAGCAACGCCGCGUGAGUGAUGAAGGUCUUCGGAUUGUAAAGCUCUGUCUUUUGGGACGAUAAUGACGGUACCAAAGGAGGAAGCCACGGCUAACUACGUGCCAGCAGCCGCGGUAAUACGUAGGUGGCAAGCGUUGUCCGGAUUUACUGGGCGUAAAGGGUGCGUAGGUGGAUAUUUAAGUCAGAUGUGAAACCCCUGGGCUCAACUCAGGGACUGCAUUUGAAACUGGAUAUCUGGAGUGCAGGAGAGGUAAGUGGAAUUCCUAGUGUAGCGGUGAAAUGCGUAGAGAUUAGGAAGAACACCAGUGGCGAAGGCGACUUACUGGACUGUAACUGACACUGAGGCACGAAAGCGUGGGUAGCAAACAGGAUUAGAUACCCUGGUAGUCCACGCCGUAAACGAUGAGUACUAGGUGUAGGGGGUAUCGACUCCCUCUGUGCCGCAGUUAACACAAUAAGUACUCCGCCUGGGAAGUACGAUCGCAAGAUUAAAACUCAAAUGAAUUGACGG